ensembl:lncRNA
GGAUAUUCCAUAGUAUUUAUGUACCCCGUCUUUCUCCAUGUCCCUGGUGAUGGACAUCUAGUUUGCUUCCAGGUCCUGGCUGUUGUAAACAGUGCUGUUGUGAACAUAGCGGUGCAUGGAUCUUUUCAAAUUAUGGUUUUGUCUGGCUCUAUGCCCAGGAGCGGGAUUGCUGGGUCAUACGGCAGCUCUAUGUUUAAUCUUUUGAGGAAUCUCCAUACUGUUUUGUAUGGUGGCCGUACCAAUUUACAUUCCCACAGUGUAGGAGGGUUUCCUCUUCUCCACACUCUUUUCAGUGCUUGUCAUUUGUAGGUUUUUUUUCUUUUUUUUUUUUAGGAGACCCCUCAUGGCAGGUGGGAUAUUAGUUCCCCAACCAGGGAUCGAACUUGUGGCCCCUGCUGCGGAAGCUGGACCACCAGGGAAGUCCCCAAGGCAAGAACUGUAAAUGCAGGUACACAGUUUAUUAUUAGAGACCUAGCGCAGCAACCAGUGGGAGAGGACACAGAGAAGCAUCUCGUGUCGUUAAGGCAGAACCAAGGCAGAGAUGCACACCCUCAGAGAAAGGAUGCGGGGUUCUCGAGAGGAGGAGUGCAGCAAGAGGCAGUCAAGUCGUUUAGGUAGGACAGGUCUUCUGGGCCUUUGCGUACCUUUACCCGAUGACCUGACUCUUUCCACACUUGACCUACCCCAGGACCCUCCCCCAGGGUGCACACGCACCCUUCAGCUGAGAUGGAUCUCCAAGUGAAGGCUUCUGGGAGAAGCAAGACCCAUGAUUCAACAUGGUGUGUGUUCAGUCACUACGUCCUAAGUCUUUGCAACCCCAUGGGCUGCAGCACGCCAGGCCUCCCUCUCCAUCCCCAUCUCCCAGAGUUUGCUCAAACCCAUGUCCAUUGAGUUGGUGAUGCCAUCCAACUACUUCAUCCUCUGCCGUCCCCUUCUCCUCCUGCCCUCAAUCUUUCCCAGCAUCAGGGUCUUUUCCAGAGUUGGUGCUUCAUCCCAGGUGGCCAAAAGCUCAUUAUGGCCUGGAAUUAUCCUGAUUUUUUGACCCCAUGAAGGCUUUUGCGCGUGUGUGGUGCUGGAGAAGACUCUUGAGAGUCCCUUGGGCAACAUGGAGAUCAAACCACUCAGUCCUAAAGAAAAUCAUUAGAAGGGCUGAUGCUGAAGCUGAAGCUCCAAUACGUUGGCCACCUGAUGAGCCAACUCAUUCGGAAAAACCCUCAUGCUGGGAAAGAUCGAGGGCACAAGGAGAAGGGUUGCAGAGGAUGAGACGGUUAGAUAGCAUCACCGACUCAAUGGACAUGAAUUUGAGCAGACUCAGGAGGACAGAGGAGCCCGGUAUGCUGCAGCCCACGGGGUUGCAAAGAGUCAGAUACAACUCAGCAACUGAACAACAUUGUCUCCCUUGCCCCACGGAUGGGAGGUGAGUGAUCUCGUGAUCUUUUUAGAGUGUUUAGUCCAAGUCUGUUCCUGCCGUAAAAAUGCCCAAUGUCUGGUGAUUUACCCUAUUCCCAUUGCUGGUUUUUAUGCCAAGGUGUAGAUCUUGAAACACAGACGGGGGUCCAGUCAUGAAUGUAUAGUCCCGGAGCCCCCUGGUCUCUUGCUUCAGGAAAUGUAAAUGGGGGCUGGGGAUGAAUGCAAGGUCCCAGGAGGCGUGAGCAGGAGGUCAGUUGUUAAUGCGUAGCCUGGGGCCAUCUCCUGCCCCAAGAGCACUCCAGUCACCAUCCGUAAUAUAAUAUUUUCUCAAUUUAUUGUCUAAUCCAAAAGUGAAAAGAUUUCACCUUAUUCUUAUCUCUUCCCCCUGCUGUGACAUCUAUUGUGUUCUGUCAGCGUUUAAAUUAAUUUCCAGGUUACAAGAGCUUCCCUGGUGACUCAGAGGAUAAAGCGUCUGUCUGCAGUGCAGACCUGGGUUCGAUCCCUGGGUCAGAAAGAUCCCCUGGAGGAGGAAAUGGCAACCCACUCCAGUACUCUUGCCUGGACAAUCCCAUGCGUGGAGGAGCCUGGUGCAGGCUACAGUCCACGGGGUCGCAAAGAGUCGGACACGACUGAGUGGCUUCACUUUCAUUUUUCCUUUACUUUCCAGGUUACAAGCUAUAAAGACAAUGUAGUGGUUGAACCUGGAGUCAUUUAGGGAGGAAAGGAAUGACUCGGAAGACUUACUUCCCCAAGGGAGAGAGGGUGAGUGUGUUCCCAUUCAAAUGAGGGAUGGUUGUAUUAUGUGAAGCAGGAAGAUGUUUCUGCUGUCGUGAGGAAUUCAACUUUCUGAAGACCUCCAUCUCCAUGGGUGGACUGUCCAUGGCAGAGGGUGAAUCUAACUAACACCCAUUUUAAUCCUCUUAUAGCUUACCUUCCUGCGUUGCAAAGUCUGAUUAGCUACAAAUGUUAUUUUCCAGGCUCCCUUGCUUUUGCUAAGCAGACAUGUGUGAGACUUGGAGUAACAUACUGCCUGGCAGUGAGCAGCAAAAAUGCGUGCAGACUUCCCCGAUGGUUUGGAGGCAAAGACUCCACACUCCCAAUGCAGGCGGCCCGGGGUUGACCCCUGGACAGGGAACUAGACCCCAGAUGCCACAACUAAGCCCCAAACAAAUAAAUGCUGAAAAAAAAUACAUGCAAUUCAUGGACAGACUGGUUCCAGGUAUCAACUGAAAAAGAUGUACAAGGCCCCUCUGCUCAGGACUCAGCUGCUGCCACUCCUCCUGUGUGAAGUCCACGGCGACAUCCUCAAACGUCACGCCUCCCUGUAGCAAGUUCCUGACCUGCAGAAAAAUACUCCCAGCCCCAGAAGCCUGGUGAACAGGGAUUUAUUCCCACUGAGCCAAGAUGGAAUUGCGCAUCUUAUUCACCGAGUGUUACGUGUGCCCACUUACUAAGUUGUGUCCACCUCUCCGCGGCCCCAUGGACUGUAGCCUGCCAGGCUCCUCUGUCCAGAGGGCUUCCGAGGCAAGGAUGCUGAGAGUGUUGUAAAGCAAUU